ensembl:misc_RNA Metazoa_SRP Metazoan signal recognition particle RNA
GCCAGGCACAGUGGCAUGUGCCCAUAGUCCCAGCUACUCGGGAGGCCAAGACAGGAGGAUCGCUUGAGCCCAGGAGUUCUGGGCUGUAGUGCACUAUGCCCAUCAGGUGUCCACACUAAGUUCAGCAUCAAUAUGGUGACCUCCCAGGAGCAGGGGACCACCAGGUUGCCUAAGGAGGGUAGAACUGGCCCAGGUCAGAAACAGAGCAGAUCAAAACUCUCGUGCUGAUCAGUAGUGGGAUUGCGCCUAUGAACAGCCACUGCACUCCAGCCUGGGAAACACAGAGACAUUCCAUCUUAA